rnacentral:rRNA from 1 species
UGGGGAAUAUUGGACAAUGGGCGAAAGCCUGAUCCAGCCAUGCCGCGUGUGUGAAGAAGGUCUUCGGAUUGUAAAGCACUUUAAGUUGGGGGAAGGGCAUUAACCUAAUACGUUAGUGUUUUGACGUUACCGACAGAAUAAGCCCCGGCUAACUCUGUGCCAGCAGCCGCGGUAAUACAGAGGGUGCAAGCGUUAAUCGGAAUUACUGGGCGUAAAGCGCGCGUAGGUGGUUUGUUAAGUUGGAUGUGAAAUCCCCGGGCUCAACCUGGGAACUGCAUUCAAAACUGACUGACUAGAGUAUGGUAGAGGGUGGUGGAAUUUCCUGUGUAGCGGUGAAAUGCGUAGAUAUAGGAAGGAACACCAGUGGCGAAGGCGACCACCUGGACUAAUACUGACACUGAGGUGCGAAGGCGUGGGGAGCAAACA